AGGGCACCACCAGGAGUGGAGCCUGCGGCUUAAUUUGACUCAACACGGGAAAACUCACCCGGCCCGGACACUGAAAGGAUUGACAGAUUGAGAGCUCUUUCUUGAUUCAGUGGGUGGUGGUGCAUGGCCGUUCUUAGUUGGUGGAGCGAUUUGUCUGGUUAAUUCCGAUAACGAACGAGACUCUAGCCUACUAAAUAGAUCGCCGGUUUACAAACACCGGUGAGACUUCUUAGAGGGACAGGCGGCGAUUCAGCCGCACGAAACAGAGCAAUAACAGGUCUGUGAUGCCCUUAGAUGUCCGGGGCCGCACGCGCGCUACACUGAAGUGAUCAGCGUGCAUUUUAAGCCUACUCUGCCAAGAGUGGGAAAUCCAAUGAACCUUCUUCGUGAUUGGGAUAGGGGAUUGUAAUUAUUCCCCUUGAACGAGGAAUUCCCAGUAAGCGCGAGUCAUAAGCUCGCGUUGAUUACGUCCCUGCCCUUUGUACACACCGCCCGUCGCUACUACCGAUUGAAUGUUUU
rnacentral:rRNA from 1 species